rnacentral:misc_RNA from 1 species
UGGNUNCGUGCCCGUCCACCCGAACGGUCGGCAGGCGAUCCGCGUCGGUCUCGCGAGGUGGUAUGGUUCCCCAGAGGCCGGUUCUUGUGCUGCCUACCCCUUCAGGGGAAGCUGGCCACUUGAUGUAAGCCUCCAUCCGGCGCCUUCCAACGGGCGCAGGAGGACAACGGAGCACCCCCCGCGUUCCACCGAGCCUACUCGGUCGCGUGGCCCGCGGGGACGUGCGAUGCUCUCGGACCCAGCGAACGCCGUGGGCGAGGACUCACGUCCCAGUCCCGAAAAGAAGCUCCGGCAUAAUGCAUGACGGNCGCUCCCGCCCCCCGACCGCCCCGGNGGCGCGUGGGCGAGGCGCGGCGUCGCGGAGGAAUGC